UAGUCACGGACGUCAUUGCAAUAUUCACACUCAGUCCGUGAAUACAGCAUCCUUGCUUUUUCAUCUCGAACACGAACGCAAUCCACAACAGAUCAUCUUCAACUACUGCUGCGCAGCGUUUUGGUUGUUUGCCUCUUGCCUUUCGUUCGCGUCACAGCCAAGAUGUGUCGAUUCGGUUGUAGCACAGCCAAUCAGAUGUACAAGUGCCGGCAUUGCAGUGCUGUGUACUGCGCAUCGUGCAAGAAGGGCGAGUUCGGUGGCACCAUGCGCGCCGCCAAUGUAUGUGGAAAGUGUAACAAGAGCCAGCACCGGGGCGACAAGGUACCCAAGUGAAUAAUCAAAUGCAAUGGUGAAGCGUUGUACAUCGCUGGAAGUUUCUACAGCCACAGAGCAAACUGUCCUGUGGCCGACCCGUCGGGUUUCAGACUUGUUUGAGACACAGUGUGUUGCAAUCAUAUCAGCUGCUCAAACAUGAUCAUGAUUUUGUUUUUGCUCUCUGUCAUGUCUACUUCGAAGAAGUACAUGUAUUAGUUCUCUAAAAUAUAGGCAAAGUAUUACAAUAUAGAACCUUAGAAAGAACCACCCAAUCAUUGAAUUUUAAACGUGCAUGUACUAGUACCUUCCACACUGAUCUAUCUAGUACAGCAGUAGCCAUCUCAUUUACAAUUUUGUUUUAAUGAUCGUCAGAAAAAAUGACAAAAUGA